rnacentral:rRNA from 1 species
GAUGAACGCUGGCGGCGUGCUUAACACAUGCAAGUCGAACGAUUAACCCAUCUUCGGAUGGUUAUAGAGUGGCGAACGGGUGAGUAACACGUGACCAACCUACCUUUUAUUUUGGGAUAACUCAGAGAAAUCUGUGCUAAUACCGAAUACUCCGAAACCUUCGCAUGUUGGUUUCGGGAAAGUUCCGGCGGUAAAAGAUGGGGUCGCGGCCUAUUAGAUAGUUGGUGGGGUAAUGGCCUACCAAGUCAGCGAUAGGUAGCCGGGUUGAGAGACUGAUCGGCCACAUUGGGACUGAGAUACGGCCCAGACUCCUACGGGAGGCAGCGGUGGGGAAUUUUGCGCAAUGGGCGAAAGCCUGACGCAGCAACGCCGCGUGCGGGAUGACGGCCUUCGGGUUGUAAACCGCUUUCAGCAGGGAAGAAAUUGACGGUACCUGCAGAAGAAGCUCCGGCUAACUACGUGCCAGCCGCCGCCGUAA